GCCACCGCCUCUGAGAAGAAGAUGGCUGUGCCACCUACGUAUGCCGAUCUUGGCAAAUCUGCCAGGGAUGUCUUCACCAGGGGCUAUGGAUUUGGCUUAAUAAAGCUUGAUUUGAAAACAAAAUGUGAGAAUGGGUUGGAAUUUACAAGCUCAGGCUCAGCCAACACUGAGACCACCAAAGUGACGGGCAGUCUGGAAACCAAGUACAGAUGGACUGAGUACGGCGUGACGUUUACAGAGAAAUAGAACACCGACAAUACACUAGGCACCGAGAUUACCGUGGAAGAUCAGCUUGCACGUGGACUGAAGCUGACCUUCGAUUCAUCCUUCUCACCUAACACUGGGGAAAAAAAUGCUAAAAUCAAGACAGAGUACAAGCGGGAGCACAUUAACCUGGGCUGCUACAUGGAUUUCGACAUUGCUGGGCCUUCCAUCUGGGGUGCUCUGGUGCUGGGUUACGAGGGCUGGCCGGCCGGCUACCAGAUGAAUUUUGAGACUGCAAAAUCCCGAGUGACCCAGAGCAACUUUGCAGUUGGCUACAAGACUGAUGAAUUCCAGCUUCACACUAAUGUGAAUGACGGGACAGAGUUUGGCGGCUCCAUUUACCAGAAAGUGAACAAGAAGUUGGAGACCACUGUCAAUCUUGCCUGGACAGCAGGAAACAGUAACAGGCGCUUCGGAAUAGCAGCCAAGUAUCAGAUUGACCCUGAGGCCUGCUUCUCCGCUAAAGUGAACAACUCCAGCCUGAUAGGUUUAGGAUACACUCAGACUCUAAAGCCAGGUAUCAAACUGACACUGUCAGCAAUUCUGGAUGGCAAGAACGUCAAUGCUGGUGGCCGCAAGCUUGGUCUAGGACUGGAAUUUCAAGCAUAA